GCAGGGAAGAACUGAGGGGUUGGGGGAGGCAUGCCACAGGGAAGUGCUGGAUGCUGGCCCAGUUUUCCACAGUGCCUUUGCCUGGCUUUCUGCUUCCGUGUUUCUUUUUCUUCUUGGAGCCGUCUACAGGCACAUAGGGAGGACACUCCUCCCGGCCCAAGGAAUUGUGAAUAUGAGACCAAGACGGCCAUCAUGUAGGCUGAGAUGGGGUUUCUGCUCCUCCACGUGCUGUGCAAGGAUGUACCACAGUGCAGGAGGGCCUCCCUGGGAGGGCACAGACCUCCAACUGAUUGAAUUGACACAACUUAGAGCGAAGAACUGUCAGUACUUGGGACUGGAUUUUCAGGUGAUCACAUCUUUAGAGCACAACAGUCCACUUGAGACACUGAUCAGUUGACAAAAGAUGAGAACCUGAUGAUCAACUUCCACCAUCCAUUUAUGCCUCUUCUCACACGUUGUUUCAGCAGGACAUCAGGACAAUGAACUAACAGGUAACCACCCUAUUACAUGCCAUGGCUACAGCAACACCACUCUAGUACUUUUCACAGAUGGAGGUUUGAAAACCUGGGGGAGUAUGUUGUUAUGAUGUGUUCUGGGGUGGGUGGGUGUUAAACUACUCAGGACCCAAACUGGUCAGUUAAAUAGAAACAUUGAAAGAUU
rnacentral:lncRNA from 1 species